GUUUGCCUGUAUUUGGAUAGUGUUCAGCACCAAGGAAAGGCAUGUUUUCCUUUGUGUGGAUGGUGUUCAGCACCAAGGACAGGCCUUUUACCU
rnacentral:pre_miRNA from 1 species